rnacentral:lncRNA from 1 species
UAAACCAUGUUCAUGAAUUAAGAGCAUAUAAAAAUUUGGUAAAAAGAAGGAUAAAAACAAGAAAUACAAAAAAAAAAACAAUUAAAUCUGCAGGGGUGUACGAAACAGGGGGUGUGCAGCCUGCAAAAUGAGGCUUUGGGCCUAACAGAAAAGGCCCAAAGACAAAGUGGUAUUGUUGGGUUCAACACAUGGUGCACCAAG